rnacentral:rRNA from 1 species
GACGAAUGCUGGCGGCGUGCUUAACACAUGCAAGUCGAACGGAAAGGCCCUGCUUUUGUGGGGUGCUCGAGUGGCGAACGGGUGAGUAACACGUGAGUAACCUGCCCUUGACUUUGGGAUAACUUCAGGAAACUGGGGCUAAUACCGGAUAGGAGCUCCUGCCGCAUGGUGGGGGUUGGAAAGUUUCGGCGGUUGGGGAUGGACUCGCGGCUUAUCAGCUUGUUGGUGGGGUAGUGGCUUACCAAGGCUUUGACGGGUAGCCGGCCUGAGAGGGUGACCGGCCACAUUGGGACUGAGAUACGGCCCAGACUCCUACGGGAGGCAGCAGUGGGGAAUAUUGCACAAUGGGCGGAAGCCUGAUGCAGCAACGCCGCGUGCGGGAUGACGGCCUUCGGGUUGUAAACCGCUUUCGCCUGUGACGAAGCGUGAGUGACGGUAAUGGGUAAAGAAGCACCGGCUAACUACGUG